AACGUAGGACGCGAGCGUUAAUCGGAAUUACUGGGCGUAAAGUGUGCGCAGGCGGCCGCGCAAGUCGAGUGUGAAAUCCCCGAGCUUAACUUGGGAAUUGCGCUCGAAACUACGUGGCUGGAGUAUGGCAGAGGAAGGUGGAAUUCCACGUGUAGCGGUGAAAUGCGUAGAGAUGUGGAGGAACACCGAUGGCGAAGGCAGCCUUCUGGGCCAAUACUGACGCUCAUGCACGAAAGCGUGGGGAGCAAACAGG
rnacentral:rRNA from 1 species